AGAGUCUGAUCAUGGCUCAGGAUGAACGCUGGCGGCGUGCUUAACACAUGCAAGUCGAACGGGAAUGCUUCGCUGAUGCGAUUUCGGUCAAAUCUUGAAGCAUUUUAGUGGCGGACGGGUGAGUAACGCGUGGGUAACCUGCCCUGUACAGGGGGACAACAGUUGGAAACGACUGCUAAUACCGCAUAAGCGCACAGCUUCGCAUGAAGCAGUGUGAAAAACUCCGGUGGUACAGGAUGGACCCGCGUCUGAUUAGAUAGUUGGUGAGGUAACGGCCCACCAAGUCAACGAUCAGUAGCCGGCCUGAGAGGGCGAACGGCCACAUUGGGACUGAGACACGGCCCAAACUCCUACGGGAGGCAGCAGUGGGGAAUAUUGCACAAUGGGGGAAACCCUGAUGCAGCGACGCCGCGUGAGUGAAGAAGUAUUUCGGUAUGUAAAGCUCUAUCAGCAGGGAAGAAAACAAUGACGGUACCUGACUAAGAAGCCCCGGCUAACUACGUGCCAGCAGCCGCGGUAAUACGUAGGGGGCAAGCGUUGUCCGGAAUGACUGGGUGUAAAGGGAGCGUAGGCGGGAUGGCAAGUCAGAUGUGAAACCUGAGGGCUCAACCUUCAGACUGCAUUUGAAACUGCUGUUCUUGAGUGAAGUAGAGGUAAGCGGAAUUCCUGGUGUAGCGGUGAAAUGCGUAGAGAUCAGGAGGAACAUCGGUGGCGAAGGCGGCUUACUGGGCUUUUACUGACGCUGAGGCUCGAAAGCGUGGGGAGCAAACAGGAUUAGAUACCCUGGUAGUCCACGCUGUAAACGAUGAUUACUAGGUGUGGGGGGAUUGACCCCUUCCGUGCCGCAGUUAACACAAUAAGUAAUCCACCUGGGGAGUACGACCGCAAGGUUGAAACUCAAAGGUAUUGACGGGGGCCCGCACAAGCAGUGGAGUAUGUGGUUUAAUUCGAAGCAACGCGAAGAACCUUACCAGGUCUUGACAUCGAGCGACGUAUCCAGAGAUGGAUAUUUCCUUCGGGACACAAAGACAGGUGGUGCAUGGUUGUCGUCAGCUCGUGUCGUGAGAUGUUGGGUUAAGUCCCGCAACGAGCGCAACCCUUAUCAUUAGUUGCUACGCAAGAGCACUCUAAUGAGACUGCCGUUGACAAAACGGAGGAAGGUGGGGAUGACGUCAAAUCAUCAUGCCCCUUAUGACCUGGGCUACACACGUACUACAAUGGCGAUCGAACAGAGGGAAGCAAGACAGCGAUGUGGAGCCAAUCCCAAAAAAUCGCCCCAGUUCAGAUUGCAGGCUGCAACUCGCCUGCAUGAAGUCGGAAUUGCUAGUAAUCGCAGAUCAGCAUGCUGCGGUGAAUACGUUCCCGGGCCUUGUACACACCGCCCGUCACACCAUGGGAGUCGGUAACACCCAAAGCCGGUCGUCUAACCUUCGGGAGGACGCCGUCUAAGGUGGGAUUGAUGACUGGGGUGAAGUCGUAACAAGGUA
rnacentral:rRNA from 1 species